rnacentral:misc_RNA from 1 species
GCCCAUGAAUACUCAUUUCAUUCAAUCAUAUUUCAUAUAAUUCUUGUUCAUUGCUGAAGUUAAAUUGGUACAGACCCACAAAUAGUGAAAAUGAAGAGCAGUAUCUUAUGAUCAAAUGAUAAAAGGCUGUUUACAGAAGAAGUAAACAGCCUUUUAUCAUUUGAGAGAAACCAUUAUUAUGUAACACACAUAAAAAACAUAUAACCAGGAAAGCAAUAAUUAUUCUUCACAAACACAAAAUCUAUAGGGUAGAAAAAUAUAGACUGAACUGUACUUCUGUAUGAAAUGAAAUUAAGCAGAUCCCUUAAGCUUCUUUGUGAUGGUAGCAAUGUACUUGCCCUGGUUGAAAAGCCUGCUCCAACUCCAGCUCGGAAGGCUGUCUUGAACCAUCCCCAGCAAAAGUUCCAGCACCAUAAGGACUUCCACCUUUCACUUUCUCCAUUUCAAACAUGCCAGCACCGAAUGUAUAACCAAUG